GGGGGAUUUUAAGAAAGAAGCUGCCUGAGUAAAACUGCUUUAAGAACCGGUGGUUGGCAAGUGGUGCCGAAGAAACCCGGGACCCCCACCAAAGAGGUUCAGAACUUUCUGCAAUCAGGGUCUGUCAACAGGAUGAGUACGGUAAGUAACUCACUAUCCCAGGAUUGGGAUUAGGCUCUCAGUAAAGAGACAAUAAGGCUCUCGGUAAAGAAACAAAUAGGCUCUCCGGCUCUGGAGACAAUAAAGGCUCUCUCUGGCUCAGGAGAUGAGAAAGUGAAAGUAAGAGGGUAGUGAAAGUAAGAGGAUAAUAGGGACAGUCUAUGGGUUACUUUCUUUUUCUAGCCAUUUGAGUAAUUUUUCUGAGGGCGUGAGUGACUAGGUAUGGGGUCAUCACAGUCACACCCAAUUUUUUCAGCGCUCGAUGAGCUGCUAAGAGUGAAGAGUGCAAAACUCAAAAAGCAUACCAUUCAAGCCUUCCUCGAGGAGUGUGACAAGGUUGCUCCUUGGUUUGCCGUGUCAGGCCAUUUGACUCCUGCUAGCUGGGGUAGGUUGGGAAGAGACCUAGAUUUCUCCUGGGAGCAGGGUGUCCUUAAAGAAGGUACUAGAGCAGUGUGGAAACUAGUGAAUAGCUGUUUAGAAGAUGAGCUUUGUUGUCAAGCAGUGGAAUCAGGCAAGCAAGCACUAGAACAAUUGAAGGAAGAGAGAUCAUUAAAGUCUGAAAAGGCGAGCUCAUCGAGCUCUGAAAGUGGAUCAGAGGAGGAUAUAGAGGAGCUAGCACAGGAGUUAGGAAGAAGCUCCUUGUAUCCUGAUUUUACAGGAUUAAAGAAGGAGACAAGUGAGGAGCAGAGGAGUAGGGAUCAAGGCAAAACCACUAGUGCAGACCUUAAAGAUUACAGACGAGAAAGGAGGAGGGAGGAAGUGACCCCUACAGCUCCCCCGCCCUAUCAAGAUUUGGGCAAGACUGGCAACUCAUUUUGCCCUGAUGCUUGGAAGGUGGUUAGACUCUUUUUGGGUUGCUUCCCUGUUUUCCUAGAUCAACAAGGGAAUCGUUACCAAGAACCAUUGGACUUUAAAGUUAUUAAAAAUCUAGCAGAAUCUUGCGGAGCCUAUGGAGUCUCUGCCGCCUUCACCACAGUUCAGCUAGAAGCCCAGCGAUUGGGCAGGGUUGGUGAGGGCAUGUCUGUCUCCUGGACAAUAUCUGGAUUGGAGAUCAUUCCUGAUUGAAUUUGCUCAUGAGUAGGCUGCCGCUAACGCAGCUGCGGGAAUCAAUUCUAGGAUAGAGAUAUGUUACUUGGUCAAGGUCGCUUUGCGCAACAGCAAUCUGGUUACCCCCCCCCCCCCCCGCAAGUUUAUGAGCAGAUCAAUCAGAUAGGAAUUAGAGCCUGGAAGUCUUUACCAAAUAGAGGAAAAGUGAAUGGGAAUCUAACAAGGAUUAUACAGGGAGCUACUGAGCCUUUUGCUGACUUUGUGGCUAGAAUGGUUGAGGCUGCUGGGAGGAUCUUUGGAGAUCCUGACACUGCCAUGCCGUUAAUAAAACAACUGGCAUUUGAGCAGUGUACUAAGGAGUGUAGAACAGCCAUUACUCCCUACAAGAAUAGGGGAAUUGAGGCCUGGAUGAAGAUUUGCCGAGAGCUUGGAGGGCCUUUGAGCAAUGCUGGACUGGCCACAGCGGUGAUGCAAUUGCAGGGAAAAAAAGAGGAACUCCUGCGGGAGCAUGUUUCUGCUGUGGCCGGGUGAGACAUGUUAAAAGGGAUUGUCCAGAAAGAAGUGCAACACAAGGACCUCGAGCUAGACAUCCAGGACUGUGCACAAAAUGUAGGAAGGGAAACCAUUGGGCCAGUGAAUGUCGAUCUAUAGAGGACAUCAAUGGACAGCCCCUUGUCUCCUCUAAUUCAGGAGCUUGUCCAAAAAACGGCCAGCAGGGCCCCUGUCCUCAGGACCCGCAAAUAUAUGGGGCAGUGAGUGUAGAGAACCAGGGGGAGACAACCUGGCCUCUUCUUUAUCCUCCUCGAAGCCGAGGAGAGCAACUGAGUGUUCAGCGGGAUUAGACCUCUGCUCAACCACCAGAGUCGUAUUGACUCCACAGAUGGGAACCCAAUUAAUAGACACAGAUUUUAGAGGACCCAUACCCAAAGAUACAGUAGGACUGCUCUGGGGGAGAUCCUCCUCAUCCUUGCAAGGUCUUAUAGUCCAUCCAGGAGAGAUCAAUCCAGAUUAUGAAGGAAUUAUCAAAGUCAUGGCCUUCUCGCCACGAGGUCUGGUAGCUAUUUCUCCAGGGGAUAGGAUAGCACAACUUUUAAUCAUCCCUAGUCUUCAUGGCUUAUACCCAGCUGCAUCACAAAAAAAGGGGAGAAAAAGGAUUUGGGUCUUCAGGCACUCAGCUUACCUGUCUGUCAUUACAAACGGAUCAGCGUCCAGUACUGGAGUUACAGGUGCAUGGAAAAUCCAUCUUGGGGCUUUUAGAUACUGGAGCUGAUAGGUCCAUAAUUGCAAGGAAGGACUGGCCAAACGGAUGGCCGAUUCAGGAGUCAGAACAAAUAUUACAAGGCCUCGGCUAUGCAAAGAGUCCAGACAUAAGUGCCAGGAUGCUCCCUUGGAAAGAUAAGGAAGGGCAUGAUGGGAUGUUUCAACCAUAUGUGCUUGAGCUGCCCAUUACCUUAUGGGGUAGGGAUUUGUUGAAAAUAAUGUCCUAUUUAGGAGCAAGGUUCGCCCCUACGGCCGUUUGGCCUCAAAAGAUACAGUUGAGGGUUGAUUCCUUGCAUACUUUAAAUGAUUUUCAGAAAUUGUUAGGCAAUAUCAAUUGGAUUCGGCCCUAUUUGAAGAUCCCAAAUUUUAAAUUAAAACCUCUGUUUCAAGUUUUAGAAGGAGACUCAGAGUUAAGUUCCAAAAGGGAAUUAACACCUGAGGCUAGAAAGGCCCUUGCCCUAGUGGAAGAAGAAUUGACUAAAGCCCAGCUUCAGUGUUGUAGAGAAGGGUUACCCAUCAUUUUGAUAAUAUUACUACUGAGAUGCAACCCACAGGAUUAUUGUGGCAAGAAUGCCCAUUGUUAUGGAUCCAUUCCAAAAGAUCUGCUGGGAGGACAUUAGAUCAUUACCCUACAACAGUGGCUUCUUAGCCUUGUUGGGAAUUGAGCAUUAUUUGCAAUUUUUUGGUAUAAAACCCAGCUCUAUUGUAAUCCCUUAUCAUGAGUAUCAGCAAAAGGUCCUAACAGCAAAUAUUGAUGAGUGGGCUAUUUUAGCCUGUAUUAAUGAGGGCCCAUUUGAUAAUCAUUAUCCCAAACAUCUGUUAAUGACAUUUUUUAAGGAACACCCCGUCAUUUUCCCUCAAGUGGUGAGGAAAACACCCAUUAAGGAUGCAGUUAACAUGUUUACUGAUGGAUCAAAAACCGGAUGUGGAGUAUAUAUGGUAGAGGGGAAAGAUCCUGUGGUCAGGCAGUAUUAUCCCUGUACUCCGCAGAUGGUGGAAUUACAAAUAGUUAUUGAGGUCAUUAAGGAUUGUGAUUUUCCUUUUAAUCUAAUUUCAGAGUCACAAUAUGUAGUUAAUUUAGUUUUAUCCCUAGAAGUGGCAGGCCAAAUAAAAGCUCGUAGUACCAUCCAAGCCUUAGCCUUACAAUUACAGAAGUUGCUGUGGGAAAGACGCCAACCAUUAUAUAUUGGACAUAUCCAUGCCCAUAGUGGGCUUCUAGGACCCUUAAGUAAGGGAAAUGAUAUUGUGGAUAAUUGUACUUGUACAGAGUUCAUAUUUUUAGCAUCCCCUAUGGAAUUAGCCUCACAAUUUCAUUCUAAAUUUCAUGUUAAUGCUAAAACUCUGCAGAGAAAAUUUGGAAUCUCUAGAGCACAAGCUCGGGAUGUAGUCACUACCUGUGGACGUUGCCUUGAGUUUCAACACCCACCUUCUUAUGGAGUGAAUCCUAGAGGAUUGCUCCCUCUGCAAGUGUGGCAGAUGGAUGUGACACAUUUUUCAGAAUUUGGCAAAUUGAAAUACGUUCAUGUAUCCAUUGACACAUGUUCAGGAAUAGUUUAUGCAUCUCCCAUGGCAGGGGAAAAGGCCUCCCAUGUUAUAUAGCAUUGUUUGGAGGCCUGGGCAGCUUGGGGUAAGCCCCAACAACUUAAAACAGACAAUGGCCCUGCAUAUACUGCCAAAACCCUGGUAUCUUUUUGUCAACAGAUGGAAGUACAAGUUAAACAAGGCCUAACAUAUAAUCCUCAAGGCCAAGGAAUCAUUGAACGAACACAUAGAACCUUAAAAGAAUUAUUAAUAAAACAAAAAGGGGGAAUAGGCUAUGGCCAUACCCCAAAGAUAAGAAAUUUUUUACAAUUGGAUAAGGAAGGUCGCUCUGCUGCUGAACGACAUGCUAACACCAGCCCCAGUAAACUGGGGUAUGCUAAAUGGAAGGAUGUGCUUACAGGAUCAUGGAAUGGUCCGGAUCCUGUGUUAGCCUGGGGGAGAGGGUCUGUUUGCAUGUUUCCACAGAAUCUUGAAGAGCCAGUGUGGGUUCCAGAGUGGCUAGUGCGACGCUGUCAAAAUGAAGAAGCUGAUCUUGCUGGUGAUGAGCACAUGUCUGGCCCUGAUGGGUGCGGAACCCAGAUGGGGAAUACUGUCUGUGUUUAAAUUGGACUGCAAAUUUUGAUGGCAAGAUGAAUGAGCUUCGCUCGGCGAUUGUUCUACCUGAGUGGAUCCUGGCUUGGCAUCGGGAAAGAAUCGACUGGGAUAGGUGCCCUUGCUGUGGCCCUUGUAUUGGCAUGCAUGUUGUGUGUAUGGUGUAUGUGUCGGUGUAUGUGUACGGAGCCAUCGCUCCGUAGGAUUGUACGGCUAAGCACUGCACAGAGGUUAGUCUGGAAGCUGUUUGACAAUCUCUGGGAGGUAUGUCUGAUUGCACGAGGGUUGAGUGUCCUAGUGUCCUUCCACCAGGAAAAAAAUGGCAUGGGAGCAGGUCAGGGUUGCUCUGGGUAAAAACCUGUGAGCUUAAGAGUCAAUCCUGUACAUGGCCCCUAUUUCUGCACACUGGGGAUCAGACCUUUAUCUUCACCCAUGGAGCUUGU
rnacentral:lncRNA from 1 species